rnacentral:rRNA from 1 species
AGUAACGGCGAGUGAAGCGGCAACAGCUCAAAUUUGAAAUCUCGGCUCUCGGGCCCGAGUUGUAAUUUGUAGAGGAUGCUUUUGAUGCGGUGCCUUCCGAGUUCCCUGGAACGGGACGCCAUAGAGGGUGAGAGCCCCGUCUGGUUGGAUGCCAAAUCUCUGUAAAGCUCCUUCGACGAGUCGAGUAGUUUGGGAAUGCUGCUCUAAAUGGGAGGUAUAUGUCUUCUAAAGCUAAAUACCGGCCAGAGACCGAUAGCGCACAAGUAGAGUGAUCGAAAGAUGAAAAGCACUUUGAAAAGAGAGUUAAAAAGUACGUGAAAUUGUUGAAAGGGAAGCGUUUAUGACCAGACUUGGGCUUGGUUAAUCAUCUGGGGUUCUCCCCAGUGCACUUUUCCAGUCCAGGCCAGCAUCAGUUUUCGCCGGGGGAUAAAGGCUUCGGGAAUGUGGCUCUCUCCGGGGAGUGUUAUAGCCCGUUGCGUAAUACCCUGGCGGGGACUGAGGUUCGCGCAUCUGCAAGGAUGCUGGCGUAAUGGUCAUCAACGACCCGUCUUGAAACACGGACCAAGGAGUCGUCUUCGUAUGCGAGUGUUCGGGUGUCAAACCCCUACGCGUAAUGAAAGUGAACGCAGGUGAGAGCUUCGGCGCAUCAUCGACCGAUCCUGAUGUUCUCGGAUGGAUUUGAGUAAGAGCAUACGGGGCCGGACCCGAAAGAAGGUGAACUAUGCCUGUGUAGGGUGAAGCCAGAGGAAACUCUGGUGGAGGCUCGCAGCGGUUCUGACGUGCAAAUCGAUCGUCAAACAUGGGCAUG